UGGGGAAUUUUGGACAAUGGGCGAAAGCCUGAUCCAGCAAUGCCGCGUGUGUGAAGAAGGCCUUCGGGUUGUAAAGCACUUUUGUCCGGAAAGAAAUCCUUGGCUCUAAUACAGUCGGGGGAUGACGGUACCGGAAGAAUAAGCACCGGCUAACUACGUGCCAGCAGCCGCGGUAAUACGUAGGGUGCAAGCGUUAAUCGGAAUUACUGGGCGUAAAGCGUGCGCAGGCGGUUUGCUAAGACCGAUGUGAAAUCCCCGGGCUCAACCUGGGAACUGCAUUGGUGACUGGCAGGCUAGAGUAUGGCAGAGGGGGGUAGAAUUCCACGUGUAGCAGUGAAAUGCGUAGAGAUGUGGAGGAAUACCGAUGGCGAAGGCAGCCCCCUGGGCCAAUACUGACGCUCAUGCACGAAAGCGUGGGGAGCAAACAGGAUUAGAUACCCUGGUAGUCCACGCCCUAAGCGAUGUCAACUAGUUGUUGGGGAUUCAUUUCCUUAGUAACGUAGCUAACGCGUGAAGUUGACCGCCUGGGGAGUACGGUCGCAAGAUUAAAACUC
rnacentral:rRNA from 1 species